GCCGCCACCCAACGCCCCAUCUCCCUUGGAGGCUCGGACCUUGCCGCCGCGCCCCCCCCCCCCCCCCCUCCCCACCCCUCGAGCGAGGAGGAGGUCGGUAGGCAUCCCCAGAUCUGUUAAGGGAUUCGAACUGGAGCUCUCGAUCGCUCACGCGCCGGGCACAACCUCCGUCUGCUCUUAUUGCUCGCCGGCGACGCGAGCAUGGAGCUUCCUCCGUGCUCGCUUGGGCUCGGGACACCGCUGCUAGUCAAGACACCACUGGCAUCGAACCCUAGCCGCACCGCACCAGCGGCGGCCAUCGACGACGGAGUACAGUACAGGACGGCCUCCCCGACGCGGCCGUCAUAACCCAAGGAGCCUUCUUCGCCAGCCCUUGCCUCCUCUCCCGAGAUGUGGACUGAUGAUGGCUGCUUCCUCCUCCCCUCCUCAACCACCAGCCCCAGAUCUGGACCUUCCGGACAUGGACGUGGACGUGAUAGGUAAAGAAUUCACCCUUGAUGCUGCUUCUUCAGUUGAGACAAUCUAGUCCCUGGCUGCUACUGGAACGAGAUGUGCGAUGGCUCAUCCCACUCAGCUCUUGAAGACAGCGUGUGUACCAGGGAAGGAGAAUGGCAUAAAUGCAAGUUGUGACUACUUCGAGUGGUAAGUAAAGAAUUCACCCAUGCUGAUGCUUCUUCAGUUGAGACAAUCUGCUCCCUGGCUGCUACUGGAAUGAGAUGUGUGAUGGCUCAUCUCACUCGGCUCUUCAAGACAGCGUGCGUACGAGGGAAGGAGAAGGGCAGAAAUGCAAGAGUGACUGCUUGGAGUGGUGCUUUGAGUGCUUCCUUCUUCCCUUCCUGGGACGCCGCUCUCCCAGUGCUCUGACGCCAUAGACAGACAAAUUCGGUCAGUUGGCGGCUCCCAGAUAUAUCCGCCACGGUCGCCAUGAUGAUGACGACCUCCCCUCCACAUGCUUGUGCUCGGUGGACGACGCGACUGUCUCUUCCUCACCUCACCUCACCUCAGGCUGGUGGCGUCCAGAUCAAGUGGAUUCGUCAAUGGCCUCGAGAGAUGCAGUCUGAUUGCCAUCAUGAAGGCUUCUUCUCCACAACCACACACGGGAAGCCAUGGAAGCUCCAUGUGCUUGUUCUCCAUGGAGGUCAGCAGCUGCCAUGCCGCGAUGGAAGCAAGUCCUAGAGCUCGUCAAGGUAACUAGUGUCGCCGAUCUGCCAAGCAUAUGAUUCCAAAGCAUCUUGUAAUCAGCGACCUACUUCCACUGGGACCUGACUGCCAUCCGACAACACGUGAGCCAUACCGGACAUCGUUGGGACCUCCAUGUCCGGCUACAUGGGUUGCGGGCCCGGCGCAAAUGACACUUGCUCUCCCCAGAGCUCUCUCCCUCCUCUGACACGUAUGAUGAACACUUUUUCUCUGACCACGGCUGAGGUUAUCAAGACCAUGAGUUUCUUCAAUAGGUGAUGGAUUGAGAUCAUAUGUUUCUUCAACAGGCGGUAAAUUAAGACCAUGUAUUUCUUCAAUAGGAGGUCGUCUCUGUUUAUUAUUGACAACGAAUUAACAAAGUGGCUGCGACUUGGAAGACGUUUUACUCGACCGCAGAAUGAAUUCACUUGUAAUGUUGGAAUAUUUUCCGUAAUUCCUGGCAAACCAAAAUAGUAUGCAAAUUAUUUCACCACAUAAUUGUCACGCAGCUGGUUUGAACUCCAAAACUUACAUUUUGAUUCUUGGGUGCAGAUGAUAGACAAGAAUUCUGAUUUCUUCCAUUGAAGGCCUUAGUGGGCAUACCACUAGGGAGCUUGUUGAGAUGCUCAAGGCGUGAGAGAGCUUUGUCUUGCAGUGCAAUGCACAAGAUGGAGGUCCAGAGCAGGCACCUAUAGGUGCAAUGGUUACAUUAGGCGGCGCCAUCACCCCCAUGUAGGUAGUGGCUUCGCCAGCGCGUCUGCUCCAGUACCCCUUCUUGCAUAGAGCAUCUCGUCACCAGCGACCUACCUACACUGGGACUUGACUGCUAGCCGACAGCACGUGAACCAUACCAUACAUCGUCGGGACCUCCAUGUCCGACUACUUGGGCUGCGGCCGCAUCGGAGCUGGGACUCGGCGCAAAUAACACCUACUCUGCAUCCUCUGACACCUCCGAUGAACGCUUAUUCUCUGACUUCGGCCUAGGUGAGCCAAUCGCUUCCUUUCUUUUGCAUGCUUACUCUCCUUCCUUGUGUGUCCACAACCAUCGAGCCGUGGUAAUUGUAUGCUGGCCAUUGCACCAUGGAAAUUUCUUGGGAUCAGUUUGGGGCUGUCGCGAUGGUGUCUGCUGUAAUCCACAUUUCUGUUUUUGUGAAUGAACGAUGACCAAAAUAUUUUCCUUGCUAUGGUUGCGGCUGCAUUGCGCCAUAUUAAUUGAUACUUCCGAUUAUUACACAUGUUCUGAAUCCAUGAUGAUUAGGGUCCCAUGUAGUUUUUAAACUAAACUUGCUGCAGAAAAAGUUUUUGGAAUAAACUAGAUGCAGAAAAUUAUCACCUUCGACAAAAAAAAAGUGUCACCUUUGACAGCUUAAUUCACAUACUAGCUCAUAUAGUAAUUUUUUUUCUAGGAACCAAUCCUGCUUCCUAAACUGGGUCCAUGGUUUUUGGGGUUGUCUAUUUGUUGCUUCCCUUGUUGAUGUUGUAUUGGCCAGUAAAACAAAACAGUCUGUGCAGUUUUAUUUCUCCUGUUGCUAAGGUUGUUAAUGACCACUGGUGAGUAGUAUAUAGUUUUCUCCUCCGGCUACAAGCUUCCUUGAUUUUUAUGCGGCACUGUGACUCGUUGUGUCCCGAGCACUCAAAUUUCUUUUGCGAUAAUCUCCAAAGGAUUUGGGAUCUCCGAUGUUGCACCAGUGCCAGUACUUGUAGCAUAUGUUCUUUGUUUGCUCCUUCACGAGUAGAAGAAUGAAACAUUUGGGCUUAGGAUCUUGCUGCAUAUCAACACUCUUCAGUCUCUUGAGCACUCUUCAGUCUGUUGAGGUUGUUGUUGGCAAGGGUAAGCAGUGAACCAUAUAUUAACAGUUUUUUAUUUGGAACUUUGACUAUCAGUUCCUAUGAAAAAUAUGUUGCUUCAAAUUUAACCAAAUAUUGAUUAUAAACAUAUAUUUCAAGAUAAUCUAGUAGUAUUAAUGUGUUGCAGUUGUUGGUAUUUGGUAUAUAUUGAUAGUUGUGAUCAACCUUUAAAUUCAGGUCCUGCAUUUGGAUCUUGUUCUUGCUGCUUUGGUUAGGCAGCAAUUUAGAAUCUCUAUAGCAAUAGGCUUGCAUGUCACGCUAAUCAAGUAUGAAGCAAAGAGUUAGUUCAUAUUGUGUCUGCAAAGGCUAGCUUGCCUAGUUAGGGCCCGUAUCUUAAUCAGUGCUUUUAAUCCUCUGUUGAUGUAUCUCCCAUCGUGGUCGAUCCUUGCGGCUUGCCUUUGCAUAUUUGCACUGUUUAGUCUGUAUUAGUUGUCUUUGCCAUUGCAUAAUCAUGUUUUUCAUGUGCCAUUGGCUGUUACAAGUCGCACUUUGAGUUGUUUAUUUACUUUACUAAGUAAUAUUCCUUCCAUGAGAUGAGGUUUGCCUGCAACGGUGGCUGUGGUCGCUACGUCUUCCUUGGUUCCGGUGAGUCCAUGGUCAUCUUCCUUUAUCCAUGUGCCUUGAGAUGGCCUGGCAAUUGAGACGUGGCUGAUUGUGGUGCUGGCCACUGGGUCAAUGAUUUAGGGUUUUGUGUUGUGGUGGUGGUCUUCCGGCCACGGCAAACUUGUGUUUGUGAUGCUCUUGUUGUUGAAAUUAGUCCCUGUGCUUGUUAGGAUUUUUUGCUACUGUGCAUGUUGUUUGUUUGGGUUUGAUACUCAUUCCAGAGAAGCUUUUUGUAGUAGAAUGAGAUCUUGUUUUAGUUAUUCAAUCGGUGUCGGCAGAAGCAUUUUUACUUUUAAGAUAAUCAUCAUGAUUCGAUAUUUGUAAUCUGAGUAGCUACUCCUUUGCAAUUCUUUGUAGUGGCUUGAGUACAAACUCGGAACUGCAGCUCCUGUUGGCGCGACCUGGUGGUUGAUGUUGCAGCCUCCAGCAUAAAUAAUUAAGAUGCAUGGCAGUGACGGUUUGGCGCCAUUGAGAUUGAUGACGCAUGAUGCUGCUGCAAGGCGCCGACGAGAGAAGCACCUCCAAGGUCCGAGAUUUGCAAGCACCAGAUGAAGUGGCAAGGCGAGCUGGCCGGAUCGUGUUAGUGUGUGCAUUGUUUGUCCUGGCGAAGUGCUAAUUGUUGAUAUGGGUGGUGAUGUUGUUGUGUGUACAUACAAUACAUAAAACAAAAUGUCUUGGCUGUUUGCUGCUGCUCUCUUGGUCAGCUGGCUGGUUGUGUUGCCCAAGUGGUGGAGGAAAUUCAAAUAUCCUUAUCUUUAUUUAUGUAUGUGUUGUCCCCAACCAAGCAUAGAUGAAAUGGGUUUGAAAUGCAA